GAGAGAACGCAGAGGGAGGGAAGCAGGGAGGGAGACCAAACCCCAGCUUCACUGCGUUGAAAGCUUCUGAAUUUCAAGCAGAAAGUAGAAGGAGCCCCACAAGGCAAUGAGCGUCUUUCCUUGGGCUGCGUGUGCAAAGCGUAGACAAUGAAAAUCUCCACCCCCCUCCCCCAUCCCCGCUAGGCUACAAGAUUUUUGUUUUCGUUCCUUCUCAACGGUGGAAGCUGUACAAAAUCAAAUGUAUAGACAUGUGUAUAUAUUUUUAAACAAACAAACCGACCCAACGGGCUGAGACGCGGAUUACCCAAACGCGCACCGGCUAGGCGCGUUCUGGAGUCUCUGAGCUAGACCGGCUCUGGGCGCUCUCUCCAGCCGCAGCCAGGCUCUGCGCCGCCCGGGGACCGCAGUGGCGGAGGAUCCUCGCUUCCUCGGACGCUGGAGCCCAGCGGGCCUUUCCCUCGGGCCGACCGCGCCGUAGGGGACGCCGCGAAAAGAGCCGCUGCUCCUGCCGCCUCCUGCCCGCUGCGCAGAGGGCUCCGCCCGUAGAGGUCAACUCCCCUCACCCCUUCCUCUCUCUCCUGCUCGCCCUCCCUCCGCCCGGCCCAGCUUCCUCCAGCCUCUUGACUCUUGCCGCAGUUUGAGGAGUGCGCGUCCUCUGCGCUGCUCUGAACCGUCACCCCCAGCCGGGCCCGGACCCGAGGGCCGCGCUGGCCAGCAGUGGGGAAGCCUUAGCGAGCUGCCUUUUCUCUCUGCAGCAAAGCUGUAGUUAGACCAGAUGGGCCGCCCGGUUCUCUCGGGACUAGGCAGGUGCGGUUGAGUUAAUUUUUCUGCAUUACAAAGAAAGAUGACCUAGCCCGCCCUUGUACCCUCAUCUCUUCCCCAAAACUCCCAACCCAAACCGCGGUAACGGUAUCAGAGGACACAGAGCCUAGACAUAUCUGCGUGUUUAUCUUACAUACACACACGCAUGAUUCCUUUCUCUUUUAUGUGCUAGAUCUCAUCCCCCCGACAGCAGGAAGUGAUUGGCAGAGCUUUCUGCAGCACAACAGGCAAUGGUGCCGUCCUUAAAAGCUGCCAUUCCUUACAAGUGACUUAGAAGAGAUGCAGGGCGAACCAACCAACUCGGUUAAUUGCUUUCAGUAAAAUAACAUGAUUACGAAAUUAGAUCUGUACCAGAGGGGUAAUUAACUUCGAUCCACGCCGUCAUUUGAAAACGAGAUUUAUAGGCGUAUGUAUGUUUUUUAGGUGUGCUGUAAAUGGCAUGCAGAUAUAUGCAUAUGUAUACGCAGA